AAAUGAAUAGACGGGGGCCCGCACAAGCAGUGGAGUAUGUGGUUUAAUUCGAAGCAACGCGAAGAACCUUACCAGGUCUUGACAUCCAACUAACGAAGCAGAGAUGCAUCAGGUGCCCUUCGGGGAAAGUUGAGACAGGUGGUGCAUGGUUGUCGUCAGCUCGUGUCGUGAGAUGUUGGGUUAAGUCCCGCAACGAGCGCAACCCUUAUGAUUAGUUGCUACGCAAGAGCACUCUAAUCAGACUGCCGUUGAUAAAACGGAGGAAGGUGGGGAUGACGUCAAAUCAUCAUGCCCUUUAUGAUCUGGGCUACACACGUACUACAAUGGCGCCUAACAGAGGGAAGCAAAGCAGCGAUGCCGAGCAAAUCCCCAAAAGGCGUCCCAGUUCAGAUUGUAGGCUGCAACCCGCCUACAUGAAGUCGGAAUUGCUAGUAAUCGCAGAUCAGCAUGCUGCGGUGAAUACGUUCCCGGGCCUUGUACACACCGCCCGU
rnacentral:rRNA from 1 species